rnacentral:ncRNA from 1 species
UAAUAAUUUGAUUUAUUUUAAUGAAUUAAUUAUUUGUAAAAUUUAUAUGAAUUUUGUUUAAUAUAUUAUUAAUUUCAGUAAUAAGUUUUUAAUUUUUAAUUAAUUUUAUUUAAGUUAUACACUGAUUUUGGGUAAAAAUUGUGCCAGCAUCUGCGGUUAUACAAUUUUAAAAGAAUUAAUUUUUUAGGUUUUAAUUAUUUUUUUUGGGUUUAAUUUUUAAUUAUUAAGGUGAAAUUUUUAUUUAUAUUUAAUAUUCUAUUAUAUAUUUUUAAUAAAUUUUUGGUUUAAAUUAGGAUUAGAUACCCUAUUAUUAAUUAAUUUAAUUAGUUUACUUUAACAUUAAUAGUUUAUUUUCUAUUAAAUUUGAAUAAUUUGGCGGUAAUUUAUUAUUAGGGGAGCCUGUACCUUAAUUGAUAAACCACGAUAUAUUUUACUUAGUAUUUUAUAUUUGUAUAUCUCUAUAUUAUGAAUAUUUGGCAGAAUUUUUAUUUUUCUUAUUAAGAUUAAUAUUAGGUCAAGGUGCAGUUUGUAUAUAAGUAGAUGUGGGCUACUUUAAUUCUAAAUAUAUUAAAUUUUUAUAAUUAAGUUAAUUUGAAAUAGGAUUUAAUAGUAAUUUAAAAUUAUUUUUUUUUUUGAAUUUAAAAUUAAAUUAUGUACAUAUUGCCCGUCACUCUCAUUUAAAUUGGGAUAAGUCGUAACAAAGUAAUUGUACUGGAAAGUGUAAUUAGAAUU